AACGUGGUAGGUUAGUAGAAUUAGGUUAAGGUUGGGAUAAUUAACGUGGUAGGUUAGUAGAAUUAGGUUAAGGUUGGGAUAAUUAACGUGGUAGGUUAGUAGAAUUAGGUUAAGGUUGGGAUAAUUAACGUGGUAGGUUAGUAGAAUUAGGUUAAGGUUGGGAUAAUUAACGUGGUAGGUUAGUAGAAUUAGGUUAAGGUUGGGAUAAUUAACGUGGUAGGUUAGUAGAAUUAGGUUAAGGUUGGGAUAAUUAACGUGGUAGGUUAGUAGAAUUAGGUUAAGGUUGGGAUAAUUAACGUGGUAGGUUAGUAGAAUUAGGUUAAGGUUGGGAUAAUUAACGUGGUAGGUUAGUAGAAUUAGGUUAAGGUCAGGAUAAUUAACGUGGUAGGUUAGUAGAAUUAGGUUAAGGUUGGGAUAAUUAAUGUGGUAGGUUAGUAGAAUUAGGUUAAGGUUGGGAUAAUUAAUGUGGUAGGUUAGUAGAAUUAGGUUAAGGUUGGGAUAAUUAACGUGGUAGGUUAGUAGAAUUAGGUUAAGGUUGGGAUCAUUAACGUGGUGGGUUAGUAGAAUUAGGUUAAGGUUAGGAUCAUUAAUGUGGUAGGUUAGUAGAAUUAGGUUAAGGUCAGGAUAAUUAACGUGGUAGGUUAGUAGAAUUAGGUUAGCUAAAAAUGCUAAAACUGUCCCGAUGCGACUUGGACAUAUCUAGCUAUACAACCAGGCCUGCCCUGAGAACAAUCUUGGUUUCCACAACUACGAUGCUGCCUCAUGACACAGGGGACGGAUUGAGAGACGGUGCUUGAAGGAGAAACUGAGUUGAAUCAUUUUGUCCACUGUUUAAAUGGAGCACAUCUAAGCUAAAUAUAUAUACAGUGCAUUCGGAAAGUAUUCAGACCCCUCGACUUUUAAAAAACAUUUUUGUUACGUUACAGCCUUAUUCUAAAAUGUAUUAAAAUAAAAUCUUCAAUCUACACACAAUACCCCAUAAUGAUAAAGCGAAAACAAGUUUUUAGAAAUUUUUAAAAAUAUAUAACUGAUAUCACAUUUACAUAACUUUUCAGACCCUUAUUAACUCAGUACGUUGUUGAAGCACCCGUGGCAGCGAUUACAGCCUCGAGUCUUCGUCGGUAUGACGCUACAAGCUUGGCACACUUGUUUCUCCCAUUCUUCUCUGCAGAUCCUCUCAAGCUCUGUCAGGUUGAAUGGGGAGCGUCGCUGCACAGCUAUUUUCAGGUCUCAUCACUUCACCAAAGAGAUGGUGGCAGGUUAACUAUUUACCAAGAGACAAACAUAACAACCAUAAUGUCUAUUUACC